CCCAGAGCCCAGGGCCGGUCAGGAGCUGGAUAGGCUGGGCUUGGCGGUGGAAGCACCAGUGGCAGAAUAUUAACUACCAACUCCUGGACAAGAGGAAGAGCCAUCUGGUUCCCCUGCGCCCAAUGUGAGGAAACAGGCUCCAGGUUCAUCACAUGGUGGUCCCAAGGCCGACUUGUGCAAGCCAGGAUGACAGGAGGACGGCCUGGGAGCACUGCUCGAUCCCAUAGCCCUUCCCUGUGGCUGAAGAUGAUCCAUCUUCGCCCUGUCUCCUGAGGUCUCCGUGUUUCUGCCCUUCACGGCCCAAAUAAAGCAGCUUUUGCCUCUCUCUGGCCCUCUCCACUUUGCAGGUCAACAGAUAUUUACUGAGCACCCUCUAUUGGAAAAUAACCCUGAG
rnacentral:lncRNA from 1 species